UACGGAGGGUGCAAGCGUUAUCCGGAUUCACUGGGUUUAAAGGGUGCGUAGGAGGACUGGUAAGUCAGUGGUGAAAUCCCCGAGCUUAACUUGGGAACUGCCGUUGAUACUAUCAGUCUUGAAUACCGUGGAGGUGAGCGGAAUAUGUCAUGUAGCGGUGAAAUGCUUAGAUAUGACAUAGAACACCAAUUGCGAAGGCAGCUCGCUACACGAAUAUUGACUCUGAGGCACGAAAGCGUGGGGAUCAAACAGGA
rnacentral:rRNA from 1 species